UACGUAGGGGGCGAGCGUUGUCCGGAUUUAUUGGGCGUAAAGAGCGUGUAGGCGGCCAGGUAGGUCCGUUGUGAAAACUCGAGGCUCAACCUCGAGACGUCGAUGGAAACCAUCUAGCUAGAGUCCGGAAGAGGAGAGUGGAAUUCCUGGUGUAGCGGUGAAAUGCGCAGAUAUCAGGAAGAACACCUAUGGCGAAGGCAGCUCUCUGGGCCACUACUGACGCUGAGAAGCGAAAGCAUGGGGAGCGAACAGG
rnacentral:rRNA from 1 species